rnacentral:rRNA from 1 species
UUUUCUGCCACCGAAUACAUUACCAUGGGAUAAUGGAAUAGGACCCUGUCCUCCUAUUUUCAGUUGGUUUUGGCAGCGCGAGGACUAGGGUAAUGAUUAAUAGGGAUAGUUGGGGGCAUUAAUAUUUAAUUGUCAGAGGUGAAAUUCUUGGAUUUAAACAACCUUGGCAGAUGCUUUC